GUGGGUAGAUGAUUAUUGGGCCUAAAGCAUCCGUAGCUCGUUUUGUAAGUUUUCGGUUAAAUCCAUGCGCUUAACGUAUGGGCUGCCGGGAAUACUGCAUAACUAGGAAGUGGGAGAGGUAGACGGUACUCGGUAGGAAGGGGUAAAAUCCUUUGAUCUCUUGAUGACCACCUGUGGCGAAGGCGGUCUACCAGAACACGUUCGACGGUGAGGGAUGAAAGCUGGGGGAGCAAACCGGAUUAGAUACCCGGGUAGUCCCAGCUGUAAACGAUGCAGACUCGGUGAUGCACUGGCUUUUGGCCAGUGCAGUGCCGCAGGGAAGCCGUUAAGUUUGCCGCCUGGGAAGUACGUACGCAAGUAUGAAACUUAAAGGAAUUGGCGGGGGAGCAC
rnacentral:rRNA from 1 species